rnacentral:rRNA from 1 species
UACGUAGGUGGCAAGCGUUGUUCGGCAUUAUUGGGCGUAAAGGGCGCGUAGGCGGCCAUGCGUGUCUCCCGUGAAAUCCCUCGGCUCAACCGAGGACGUGCGGAAGAAACUGCAAGGCUCGAGUCCGGAAGAGGGGGGCGGAAUUCCCAGUGUAGCGGUGAAAUGCGUAGAUGUUGGGAGGAACACCAGUGGCGAAGGCGGUCCCCUGGGCCGGAACUGACGCUGAGGCGCGAAAGCGUGGGUAGCAAACGGG